rnacentral:rRNA from 1 species
GAUGAACGCUGGCGGCGUGCCUAAUACAUGCAAGUCGAGCGAACGGACGAGAAGCUUGCUUCUCUGAUGUUAGCGGCGGACGGGUGAGUAACACGUGGAUAACCUACCUAUAAGACUGGGAUAACUUCGGGAAACCGGAGCUAAUACCGGAUAAUAUUUUGAACCGCAUGGUUCAAAAGUGAAAGACGGUCUUGCUGUCACUUAUAGAUGGAUCCGCGCUGCAUUAGCUAGUUGGUAAGGUAACGGCUUACCAAGGCAACGAUGCAUAGCCGACCUGAGAGGGUGAUCGGCCACACUGGAACUGAGACACGGUCCAGACUCCUACGGGAGGCAGCAGUAGGGAAUCUUCCGCAAUGGGCGAAAGCCUGACGGAGCAACGCCGCGUGAGUGAUGAAGGUCUUCGGAUCGUAAAACUCUGUUAUUAGGGAAGAACAUAUGUGUAAGUAACUGUGCACAUCUUGACGGUACCUAAUCAGAAAGCCACGGCUAACUACGUGCCAGCAGCCGCGGUAAUACGUAGGUGGCAAGCGUUAUCCGGAAUUAUUGGGCGUAAAGCGCGCGUAGGCGGUUUUUUAAGUCUGAUGUGAAAGCCCACGGCUCAACCGUGGAGGGUCAUUGGAAACUGGAAAACUUGAGUGCAGAAGAGGAAAGUGGAAUUCCAUGUGUAGCGGUGAAAUGCUCAGAGAUAUGGAGGAACACCAGUGGCGAAGGCGACUUUCUGGUCUGUAACUGACGCUGAUGUGCGAAAGCGUGGGGAUCAAACAGGAUUAGAUACCCUGGUAGUCCACGCCGUAAACGAUGAGUGCUAAGUGUUAGGGGGUUUCCGCCCCUUAGUGCUGCAGCUAACGCAUUAAGCACUCCGCCUGGGGAGUACGACCGCAAGGUUGAAACUCAAAGGAAUUGACGGGGACCCGCACAAGCGGUGGAGCAUGUGGUUUAAUUCGAAGCAACGCGAAGAACCUUACCAAAUCUUGACAUCCUUUGACAACUCUAGAGAUAGAGCCUUCCCCUUCGGGGGACAAAGUGACAGGUGGUGCAUGGUUGUCGUCAGCUCGUGUCGUGAGAUGUUGGGUUAAGUCCCGCAACGAGCGCAACCCUUAAGCUUAGUUGCCAUCAUUAAGUUGGGCACUCUAAGUUGACUGCCGGUGACAAACCGGAGGAAGGUGGGGAUGGCGUCAAAUCAUCAUGCCCCUUAUGAUUUGGGCUACACACGUGCUACAAUGGACAAUACAAAGGGCAGCGAAACCGCGAGGUCAAGCAAAUCCCAUAAAGUUGUUCUCAGUUCGGAUUGUAGUCUGCAACUCGACUACAUGAAGCUGGAAUCGCUAGUAAUCGUAGAUCAGCAUGCUACGGUGAAUACGUUCCCGGGUCU